ensembl:lncRNA
AGAAUUUGAAAGACACUAUUUAAUGUAUCUCUUUAGUCUUCUGGAGAAGCCUGAGAAAAAUCAAAUUACAGACAUUUGUCCUUUUUUGAAACCAAAGGUUUUACAAUAUUGUGUACAUAAUUCCAUGUGUGGAAAAAAAAUGGCUUUGAUCCAAAAAGCCAAUAAUACAGACAGAGAACAGAAAAGGCAAAGGCAAAGUAUCAGAAGGCAGACAAUGAUAGCAAAAUUAUGUAUCAACAAGAAUGAGCCUAUCUCUCUCUCUGUUUACUUCAAAUAUGUUCUUUGUUUUUUUUUUUCUCUUCCUGCAUUAGUUGCCAUAUUGAAGAAAGGACUGAAACAACUAAUGAGCUAAAUAUAUUACCAUUAAAUGGGAAGAAAAUGACUAUCAGCAACUUGAAAAAACUCUUAAUUGACAUGAAACUAGACUUAACAAAAGCUGUACUUUUAAAACUAACCUUUUCUGAAAAGUACUUAUUUGUGAAACAAAUAAAUUAGAAACAGAACAUAAGGUAUCCAAACAAGGAGUCCAUUUGUAGAGGAUGUCACCCCUUUACCUGUUAUGAAAGGUAACAGGCCCUCACAAACUGCAUUCUAGCUCCAUCUGUAGGAAGCUUGGACAAAAGUAAUUCUGUGAAUUAGCAAAUACGCGUACAGAUUUGUGUGUCAGCUCUGGUAUUUCUUGCAGGUCUUUUUGAAAGUCUGCAGUUUAUCCAUUAAGCCUCUAAUUCUAGCUGCCCUCUGGAAUCUUUUCUGAAGUGAAAGGAGAAGAGGGAAAAAGGAAGGUGAGAAGGAAAUAAAAGUGAAAUCAUAUUAUAUGUCAUCAUCCCAGAUAUCUGAACUGCUUUAUAUUUAUUUUACCUAUCUAUGCAUUAGAAGUUAAAAUAAGGCUUUUUCUUUUCAAUACAGGAUUUUGAUUCUAGAGGAACUAACCACAUGGACAAGCCUUUUCUCCUGGUCUCAAUUCAUGCUAUUGCUCAUCCUAAGAGGUUACAGCUAUGGUGCAUAUGAAAGUAUGCAUCAUAACCAAGAGUUUCAGCUAUCGUUGGAUACUAAAUCCAACCUACUCUUAAUUGGCUUGCUUGUGUGCAGUUAUUGUUUUCUUUUCAACAAGACAGAGCACAAUGCAGACUGCAAAGCUACAUGAAAAAAAGCCCACUCUCACUCAGCUGAUGUGGCUUUUUGAUAUCCAAACUGACUCACUUAAAGCUUUGUCACUGAAGAAACCUAACAGAAAUGUGACACGCUGCAGUGAUCAGGUACCUGUCAACAGCUGUGAUAUUAACCCAAGAAAAGGUAUGCAUGGCAACUCACUCUGUCACAUAAAAUACAUACUCAAUGACUCAAAAAAUAUGACUGGUGGUUUUAAUAGUACAGUAAUUUGCUGUUCAUGUCACAAAAAUUUUUGUAUUCUUUGUGUAACAGCAAUUAUUGGAAAAGAGCUCAGAAUUUGCUGAAAUCGAAGGCACACUUUGCAGUGCAGUUUCCACUGUAUUGUGAAAUGUCUCUGUGUUCAGGGUACUGGUUUAAUAGAUAUAUUAUAGAGAGCUGAUUCAGCAGAAAUAAUCUCAGAUGUACUUGUCCCAGACAUUCGUGGUUUCUGACUGCAGUGGCAGUCAGAUCCUCAUAGUAAAAGAGGUUCAUUGACUUUAAUAUCAGGGAAAAAUACUCCAUGAACAAAAAUAUCCCUGCCUUCUGCAUGGACACAUAGCAUUCUUACAUCUUUUUGUGGGCAUGACUGGUUUGACAAGCCUCCAGUUCAGCUUGUCCAGCUUCAGUUUGCGUCUUUUAACAUAUCUGUAUACAGCUGUAAUGUUCCUCUAAAAAGUGCCAAUUCAUCAAGCCACCCCAUGUUGAUCGGUGUUCCAUAUGGAUAACACAGAGGAGAAACACAGGAAAUAACUUGUAUAAAGCACUGCAUUUUACUCACAGUACUGGAACAGGAUUUUCUGUUUAACCAGGAGUCAUGUAUUCUAAUAGAGCUUCAGAGUUGUUUUGCAGCAUCUUUAUUUUCUUCUGCUUUGUUUUUGCAUGAGUACACGUCUCUGCACUUUUCCUUAAAAAUGUAAUCAGACUAUGGUUAACAUGAUUGAGGCAAAUUCCUUAAAAUAUCAGAAAGAAAAUAAGUUUUAUCUUCAUGCUGAUAGUUACAUGCAGUUUUCUUCAUUGUUGAUCAUCAUAGGAGCCCAAUAAUUCACAUAUGGUAUCACAUCUGAAAGGCAACUGUACAAUUUUAUUUGAUUAGCAAUACCUUGGGUAGGUACCUGAUGAUUAAGUUAAAUGCCUGUUUAAAUGGGUUGUACACUCAGGUUUAGUGAUUUUAGUUACAAAAGCUGCAUGUCCACUCUUCUACAUCACACUGUAUUUGCAUCUGAUCUGCUUAGAAGAUUUAAAUAGUGACUUUCUUAUCAUUUGAGUACAGUUUACAAUGUCAUCUCCACCCUCACAUCCUCAAGAAAAAGGGAAGACAAAGGCAAAGACAGACAAAAAAGGAAGGAAAGGAGUGAAAUCAAGUUUCAGGAAGCAAAUUUUUUUAUUUUUUCCCGAAGAAAAGAAAGGAUAACGGGAACCAAACUCUCCAUAAACCUUUUAUAUGACUACUGCUCAUAAUGGAGAGCUCUGUUCCAUUUCUGAAAUAGUUUUUAUUUGUAAAGUGAAAUGGGUAACACAUAAUAAAUGAUCCUCUGAAGAACAAUUAUACUGAUUUGGUUUAACCAGGCCCAGAGUAAACCUGAAACUGCUCCACAAGCCUUUUGAAUGCUCACAUAUUUUUCUGAAACAUUCAGAACUGCUUUAUGCAAGUAUCUGCUACAUAUUCAAUAGACCUGACAAGUUCCAUUAUCCAGUUCCCAGUCCAAGACAAUCAUGAAAUCUGAGUGUUGCUUACACGAUCCAUUUAUAUAAUAUAUUUGUUUAAGGACAAAGCUUUCCUGGAGUUAGCCUUUAACCAGACACUUGAAGGAAAUGAAUCAAUACAUUGUAACACUUGUGGAAUCAGUCUCAGGUUUAUUCAAACUGAAUAGCGCAUCACCUGGCAGACAAUUUUGCAGCAUGUUACUAGAAUUAUACUGCCCUAGCUUCUAAGAGCAAGGAAGAUUUAGGACUGGCCUAUUUUCGAGAGAGAAGAAGUUAGUAAUACAAGGUAUAUCUGAUUUACUGGGUUAAACUCUCAAGAUGUUAUUUUUAUGUACGCAUGCAAGUGUUGUACAGCAUUUUCAGACCUGCUCAGUUAACAUUUUCAUGCUUUUAUUUUAUGACAGAAAGUAAGAAAGAGAAGAAUGAUUUAAAGGUCUUGUGAGUUAUUAACAGGAAAAUGAGACUAGAAAUGUGCACACAGUUAUGCAAGCUGUAAUACAACGUCUUUUAUCACUGGGCUGCAGGACAGACUGGAUUCAGGCUAAGUGAUCUACCCAGUAUCUAAAGCUCUUCAUUUUUAAGCAAUGGACAGAAGAAGCAGUUAGGCCAUGGGUGUCCAACCUUUUGGCUUGCCAGAGCUGUACUGAAUGAACAGGAAUUGUCUUGAGCCAAAUAUAGAUAAGUUGCUCUGAAAGUAAUGUCUCCUGUUUAUUUCCAUGGAAAUGACACCAGAUGCACUAGUGGAGGUGAUCCACUGUUGUCACUGCUGAAACGCAACACUGCCUCACUGUGCUGACAUCCAUUGUUUGAACUCGAUAAACAUUCAGCAAGCAUCAAAGAAUGUCAUUGGGUGACAUUUUUUCCACAUGGAAGAAUUCAAUGACACAUCCUUGCAUUAUAUGCACUUCCAUGUCAGGUGCCAUCAUGUCAGACUGCCCCUCUGCUGCCAUUUGUCAUACAGCAACAAAAUGUAAGGGAAUACUGGUGGGAAGUUUCAAUCUCCACUGCCAUCCCACCAGCAUCUGCUCCUGAUGUUUUUGUGGGAUAUUUGGCCUUGUUUUUGCGAAAGUAAUGCAUCAGUUUAGUUCAAGGGAAGUGGUUGUAAGGUUUUGAUCAGAGAUUUUUCACAAACUUUUACUGUUUCUUGACAACAGUUGCUCACAAAUGUAUGUACUGCCAAAAAGCAACCUCAUGAAUAAGGUGUGACUGUGAAUCAAAGGACAUUUUUGUCUGAUAAGACAGAUCUUAUAAGGGUCUAGUAAAGAGACAUGAUCAGAUUUUUCUUUGCGUUGGAUAUCUGAUUGCAGCUUUACACACUCCAUUUGAAUGCUUGCAGGUAAUAAGUCAAUUAAAAAUGGAGUUGCAAAUAAACUAAACAAUUGAUGAAGUUUUUGACAAUCUUUAUUCUCCACUAUUCUCAAAUUCCUUUAUCAAAUUGGAAAGCACAUUUGCAUAUAUAUAUAUAGACCAAAUAUAUAUACAUAAACCAAAUAUAUAUAUUUUGCAGUUUACAGGGCUGUGUUUAGUCAAUGCAUCAAAAUGCAUACAAUUGUUUGCUGUAGCUUGAGUUGGCAUUGCACUACAGCCUCUCAGUGCCCUGGUUUCAGCCCAGAUAGUGCCAACCACACGCCGAUGUCUGGCUGUUGGUGAGUGAUGGUGAGUGAGUUGGUGCUCCUGGAGCCAGGCUGAGCUGGGUCACUUGGACAGGCAGAGCUGCCGCCAUGAUGGUGCAGGGUAGAAUGGGCUUGGCCACGCUGCAUGCAGCCCACAGGCCACAGGUUGGGCAUGCAAAGUCUAGUCCGUCAACCACUCCUCUCAAUUGUUUAUAAUCUAUGAAUCUGCUGAGAAUGCACCCUACCCCAUCAUCUGAAUCAUUAAGGAAAACAUUUUGGUCAAUACUGAUGCCAGUACUGACCCCAACAUAUCCCACUAGUAAUGGGACUGCAGCUGAAUGUUGCAUUGCUGAUAACAAUCCCUUGAACCAUGAAGUUCAGCCAGUUUUCAGUCCAUCUCACUGUUCGUUUAUCUAGUUCAUACUUCAUCAGAUUGUCUAUAAAAGAUAUUAUGGGAGAAAGUGCUGAAAGCCUCGCUGACAUCAAAAUAAACAACACAUGAUGCUGCCUUCCCCAAGCCCACCAAGCCAAUUGUUUCAGAAGGCUAAUAGGUUGGUCAAACAUGGUCUGAUCUCCUGAAGUACAGGGUUAUAAUCCCACUGUUUGCCUUUUUCCCUUCCUUCAUGAUCUCAGACACCACCGUCUCAUAACUACCAGAGGCAAUCCUACCUGCAAGCUUCACAUUUCUGACUAGACCUUUGCAACUAUCAGACUCAACAGGGCAUCUCCAUCUGUUGCUUCUUUGAUCACCUGUGUCAAGAAGUUGUCAUCAACCUGUCCUAGAAACCUCCUGGAUUGCUUACACUCAACAGCAUCAGUCUUCUAAAUAUUUCUGUGGAGGACGGAGACCCCAAAAGGACAACUGUCUGCUAGCAGAAGACUUUCUCAAGGUGUCCAAAAAGGGCCUCACUUGCCUGUUUCUGAUCUGGAGGACUGUAGCAGACACCCACUGCAAUGUUGCCUUCUUUAGUUUGCUCUCUAAUCCUAACCUAUAAAGUCUCAGCUGGUCUGGGAUCCAUCCCCAGGCAGAGCUCUCUCAAAUAUUAACUGCCAGUCCCACUCCUCAUUGUCCUGGCCGGUAUGUCCUAAACUGCCCAAAUCUGUCUUCACCAGCAGUUCAGUCAUGAGCCAUCCUGCCACAUUUGCCCAACCAGAUCGUGAGCCAUACAGCUAUACACAAAAGGCUUUAAUUUGUCUUCUUGAUACCUUAUGGUGCAUGUAUUAGUGUACAGACACUUCUGAGUACCCUGCUAGGCUGAUUUCCACUAAGAACUGUGAGAGCUUCUUGAAUACUACUUAUGGGAAAUGUUUUGAACAGUGUGGCAAAUAUCUGGGACAGAAAAAGAAGGCCUUCCAAUACGUCUCUUCAGUGCAUAUCACAUUAUUGAGUUCCUCUUAGUAGCACUUCUAACACUGUCAUGCUUAAUUUUUGUCACCAAACUGAACAAUCUCUUUCACAAUGUUACACACGAACAUUUCAGGGAUGUAGCACAUCUUUUAAAAAGUGCUUAACCCAAUUCAUUUUGGCUGUUCUCUAAUACUUCUCUAAUGAAAUCUAGAUCUAAAGUCAAUAUGAGCAAAGUUCAAAAUUUCACAUGGAGUUUUAGAUAUCUUAAACUUUUCAGUAACAGCAACAGCUUUUCAAAAUAAAGUCCUUUCACAAAUCUUUUCCUGCAGAAACACAGUAUGAGGUUUUUUUUUUAUAUCUUAGCAAAUAGCUUCUAACUUGAGCUAGAAAGAUUUCCUGAAAGGACUUCUAUAUUCUAAAAACUUUAGAAGAUAAAUUACAGAAGUAAGUAAUUCACUGACUUCUGAAAAAAGCCUCAUUAUGGACCUGGUCUUUUAAGAAUGUCCUCAUGAAAGAAGUUUUGAUCUUCUUUCAUAUUUCGAUCUCACUGGGCCAACUUCCAUUAUCUAGCCUCCCCCCUCCCCCGAAGUUGUGUAAAGAUACAGAAUCAGCUUGUAAUUUGUGAGAAGAGUUUUAUCUACUGGCAAAAUUGAAGUGUUUAAGCAAGAGCUUAACGUGUUUCUUAUUUCCUUCUAUUGUGAUGCUGUAAUAUUGUGUUUAUGACAGUAAAAUAACAGUCACACUCCACAGGAAAGAAUCCUCAUUAAGCAGAACUAUCUCUGUAAUAAUCAAAUGCAACAUAACAUUCAUUAAACAAACACCUUGUGGUAUGAACAUUUAUCUUCAAACAUGACCCAGUUUAAAAGUUUGCCUUAGAAUGACAACUUACAUGUUCUUGCAGAAUUUUCUAACAUGCUUUGAGGGCUGAAAUUCAUUAAGUUUCUGAUUCUGGUUAUUUUGCCAAAUUUUGAAAACAUCAUGCUGUUUCCAGCUUUGUUUUUAUGAUGGUACGGCUAUUGUCACAUUCCUUUAGAAUCAGUGUAGCUAAACAUGACUACAUGUAUAUUUUAAAAACAAUUGAAUUUAUUGGUACUAUAUUUUUGAACAACCUACCCCAACAUAUGCGGUAUCCAAAAUUUAUGUAGUUUAUUGUUGAAGCAACUCUGUCAGUGCUUUCAUGCCUGCUAUUCUUCUGUUACCACUGGCUCAUAAACCACCACACACAUUUCAUUAACUUGUUACAAUAAAAUUCCAGCUAACAGCAAAGAUGAUAUACAGAAGGAACUUCAUCUUGCUUUGGGUUCUGUUGAGUCUUCAUUACUCGCAGUGUAGGCAGGUGGCUGCUACCUGCAGAAAAGCACACAGACUCACAUUUGGUAGAAUCCAUUGCUGUGCUUUGCUCCUAUAAGUGUUUUAUUCACAGUAGCAAGUGCCAUUAUACCCACUAGUUUCCCUACUGGCUUGCUGGCACAAUCUCUUCCCUUUUUUCUUCCCCUAUGGAUGUUGCUACAAACAACAGCAGCAUUAAGAGAAAAUUCUGAUAAAAUAUAUUUAGUAUGUAUCAAGACGUCUAAUCAUUCAAGCUGGGGUGGCAACAAUCCAUUCAGGGGCUCUUCAGGUGCAAGAACACUGUUCAUCCAUCAUAAAUCUGCACAGCAGUAGCGCUACAAGUACUACAAUGCAACUCUGCACACGUCCUGCAAAAGCUCCGUUAAGUUUAAGUGGGUACCACUAUACUGUUGCACACUGUGCAGAAUGGAGCUGCUCCCGAACAACUAUUUCCCAGACACUGGCCUCACCACAACAGCCCCAUGGCCCACAGCCCCAUAGCAGUCCUAAGGCUCAGCACCCUUGAAGGGUCGCUGCGCUACAACUCAGUGACAAACUGUAAUGGCAGAGAAGGUCAACCUGAAGGCUCCGAGCCGCGUCCGGUCAUUACGUAGCACAGUUCUCACCUAAGGCCCGACGCUGGCAGCCGGCGGCCAAGACUUCCGGUAGCUCUCGC